GAUGAAGAACGUAGCGAAAUGCGAUAAGUAAUGUGAAUUGCAGAAUUCAGUGAAUCAUCGAAUCUUUGAACGCACAUUGCGCCCGCCAGUAUUCUGGCGGGCAUGCCUGUCUGAGCGUCAUUUCAACCCUCAUGCCCCUAGGGCGUGGUGUUGGGGAUCGGCCAAAGCCCGCGAGGGACGGCCGGCCCCUAAAUCUAGUGGCGGACCCGUCGUGGCCUCCUCUGCGAAGUAGUGAUAUUCCGCAUCGGAGAGCGACGAGCCCCUGCCGUUAAACCCCCAACUUUCCAAGGUUGACCUCAGAUCAGGUAGGAAUACCCGCUGAACUUAAGUAUAUCAAUAAGCGGAGGA
rnacentral:misc_RNA from 1 species